GUGGAAAAGAGCAGCUUCCUUAGAUGCAGCUUCAAUCAACCUGCUGCAGUUGAAAGCCAUCCCCACUUGUCCUGUCACCACAGGCCCUGCUGAACACUCUGUCCCCUUCUUUCCUGUGGGACCCUUCCAGUCCUGCACAGCCACAGGGAGGUCUCCCAGUGUCUCCUCUGUCCAGGCUGAGCAUCCCCAGCCCCACUUGCCCAGCAGUCAGUCACAUCAGGGCGAGUCAAGGCUGCAGGGUAGAAAAUAGCAUCAGGAACUGAGAGAUGCAAGCUUUAGACCCAGAAUUUUCUGUUUGAAAGGAAGCCUGGCACAAUGUCCAUUGUCUUCUCCAUUUGUGAAAGACCAAGCGGACCUUUUUUCAUUUCUUCAGGCCUCCUUCUCUCUUUUGUUCCCUCCAGAGCACUCACUACAUUUCUGCUGUUGUUUGGAGCACGUGCUUCCCUCUUUCCUGAUCUCCUGGGCUUCUUUUUUCUCUGGCUGUCAUGGACACUCUUAAUUGUGGAUUUUUAUCCCUUCAUCUACUUCUGACCUCCAGCCCUGGGAACCUGGAGCAAGUGGAAACUACAACUUUGCAAAAUGCUGCCUGUGUCUGAAACAAAAGCAAGGAGAACUGGAGUGUGAAAAAUAAAAUUUGUUUAUUACAGAUGAA